GAUGAACGCUGGCGGCGUGCCUAAUACAUGCAAGUCGAGCGAACAGAUGAGGAGCUUGCUCCUCUGACGUUAGCGGCGGACGGGUGAGUAACACGUGGAUAACCUACCUAUAAGACUGGGAUAACUUCGGGAAACCGGAGCUAAUACCGGAUAAUAUAUUGAACCGCAUGGUUCAAUAGUGAAAGACGGUUUUGCUGUCACUUAUAGAUGGAUCCGCGCCGCAUUAGCUAGUUGGUAAGGUAACGGCUUACCAAGGCAACGAUGCGUAGCCGACCUGAGAGGGUGAUCGGCCACACUGGAACUGAGACACGGUCCAGACUCAUACGGGAGGCAGCAGUAGGGAAUCUGCCGCAAUGGGCGAAAGCCUGACGGAGCAACGCCGCGUGAGUGAUGAAGGUCUUCGGAUCGUAAAACUCUGUUAUUAGGGAAGAACAAAUGUGUAAGUAACUAUGCACGUCUUGACGGUACCUAAUCAGAAAGCCACGGCUAACUACGUG
rnacentral:rRNA from 1 species